AUGUCGGACACCGAUGAGCACCACUUCGAGUCCAAGGCCGACUCCGGCGCCUCCAAGACCUACCCGCAGCAGGCCGGCGCCAUCCGCAAGGGUGGACACAUCGUCAUCAAGGCCCGUCCCUGCAAGGUUGUUGAGGUCUCCACCUCCAAGACUGGGAAGCAUGGUCACGCAAAGUGUCACUUUGUUGCCAUUGACAUCUUUAAUGGAAAGAAGCUUGAGGAUAUCGUUCCUUCAUCCCACAACUGUGACGUCCCCCAUGUUGACCGCCAAGAUUAUCAGCUGAUUGACAUAACUGAUGAUGGAUAUGUCAGCCUUCUAACUGAGAGUGGCAACACGAAGGAUGACCUGAAGCUUCCCACUGAUGAUGUUCUGCUUGGCCAGAUCAAGACUGGAUUUGCUGAUGGCAAGGACCUGAUCCUGUCUGUGAUGUCCGCCAUGGGUGAAGAACAGAUCUGCGCUGUGAAGGAAAUCGGUGGUGGCAAGUAA
rnacentral:rRNA from 1 species